AUUCUUAAUUUAAAAAGAGUUUGAUCCUGGCUCAGAAUAAACGUUAAUGAUCAGGUUAACACAUGCAAAUUAAAUUAAUUUAAUCAUUUUAAAUUAAUAGUGAACGGGUGAGUAAGAUAUAGAAAUUAACCUCAAAAUAUUAUUUAAUAUAUGAAAAGAUUUUUAUCGAUUUGAGAAAAGUCUAUAUAGGAUUAAGUUGUUGGUGUAGUAAAAUUAUACCAAGCUGACGAUCCUUAGUUGGUCUGUGAAGAUGAACAACCACAUUGGAAUUGAGAUACGGUCCAAACUUCGUAAGAAGGCAGCAGUGAGGAAUUUUGGGCAAUGAGCGGAAGCUUGACCCAGCUAGAUUAUGUAUGUGAAGAAAACUUUUAGUUUUAAAACAUUAAAAUAAAAAAAUAAUGAUUUAUUAAAAAAAAAGUCCUGGCUAAUUUCGUGCCAGCAGCCGCGGUAAAACGAGAAGGGCAAACGUUAUUCGGAUUUAUUGGGCGUAAAGUAUAUGUAGGUGGAAAAUUAACUUUUAGCUAAAAAUUCAAAUUUCAUUUUUUUAGAGGCUGAAAAACUGAUUUUCUAGAGUUCAAAAGAAGAUUAUGGAAUUUUAAAUGUAACAGUAAAAUGUUUUGAUAUUUAAAGGAACCUCUAUAGUGUAAACAAUAAUCUAGGAUGAAACUGACACUGAGAUAUUAAAGCAUGGGUAGCAAAAGGGAUUAGAUACCCCUGUAGUCCAUGCCCUGAACGAUGAGUGUUGAUUUUUGGUUAUUCAGAGAUAAAGUUAACACAUUAAACACUCCGCCUGGGAACUACGAUCGCAAGAUUAAAACUCAAAGGAAUUGACGGGAACCUACACAAGUAGUGGAGCAUGUGGUUUAAAUCGAUAAUACGCGCGAAAUCUUACCAAUUUUUGAAUACUUAUAGUACAGGUGUUGCAUGGCUGUCGUCAGUCCGUGCUGUGAAGCGUUUGGUUCAUUCCAAUAAACGGACAAAACUCUUAUGUAUUUUUGAAUACAAACUGUUAAAGAUAUAUUAAAGGAAGGAAAGAAUGACGUCAAGUCCUCAUGACCCUAAUAAAUUGGGCUACUCUCAUGUGCUACAAUAGUUUAUUCAAAGAGAAGCAAAAAUGCGAAUUUAAGCAAACCUUAAUAAAAUAUACUAUGUUCAGAUUAUUUUCUGCAACUCGAAAAUAUGAAGAUGGAAUUACUAGUAAUCGUAAAUUAGAAUGUCACGGUGAAUAAGUUCUUAGGUUUUGUACACACCGCCCGUCACGCUAUGGGAAUUCGUUUUAUCUGAAAAUCUUAUUAGGUUAAGAUUUAUGAUAAAAGCAGGACUGAAGUGAAGUCGUAACAAGGUAGCCGUAGGGGAACCUGUGGCUGGAAAAUUUAAACAAUUCUACUAUCCC
rnacentral:rRNA from 1 species